AGCAAGUGCAUCCCGACACCGGAGUGUCGUCUAAGGCCAUGAGCAUCAUGAACAGUUUCGUCAACGACAUUUUCGAGCGCAUUGCGUCCGAAUCUAGCCGUCUUUCUCACUACAACAAGCGUUCUACGAUAACCAGUCGGGAAAUUCAAACCGCCGUCCGUUUGUUGUUGCCCGGAGAGUUGGCCAAGCACGCCGUCAGCGAAGGCACCAAAGCCGUGACCAAGUAUACCAGUUCCAAAUAAAUCGCAUUGUCAAUAUAUUUGAAAUCCAUUAAUAAAACGGCCCUUUUCAGGGCCACUAAACUUUAUAUAUUAAUCCGAAUCGUAUUUGCCUUCUUACUUCUAUCAUUGCCCUUAUCUUAUAAUACAUAUAAUAUAAUAUAAUAUAAUACACAUCAAUCGAACUUGGUUAUUAUUUAAACAGUACUACGACCCCAAUUUCUAGAAGAAGAGUACAACGAGUAUUUUCAUAGUAGUAACAUAACAUAUAACACAUAUGUCGAAAUUAGAGAUGUGUCGUUCACAAACAAACCGGAUCUUUUGAACGGGUCAAAUUUGUGAACGAUAUGAUUCACAUCGUCGAACCGAGGCGAUCGGAAUCACCCGAUAUUUUUUUUUCGUAUCGGUUCAUAGGUUCAUACACGAGUUUUUAAUAACGUUAUCAUCAAUCAUAAUAUUAUGAGAGUGAGUGGAAAAGAGCUGUUCCGAAACUAAGCUCCACCAUUUUGCACACGUCAGUAUCAUACAGAUACCGAAUGUUUAAUCUAUGGAUCUAUAUACGAAGUCCGAAUCAUACAAAAUACAAAUUAUAAUAUCUAAUCUAUGUUCGAAUCAUCACGCGAUUCGCGAAUCGUUUGGG